rnacentral:sRNA from 1 species
UUUUUUUUAAUAUUUCUGAUUUUCUGCAGCCCUGUUGUAGUCCUGUAAGGAAGGCAGGUACUAUGAAAUAUUAUUAUGGAAUGGUAUCGUUCAAUGAAAUCGUUCAAUGAAAUCGUUCAACCAGACGCUUUGAAGCUAUUGCGAAUAGAGUGUCAAGGAUACUUAUCUGGAACAUUCCAUUUUAAAACGAUCAUGAGAUUCUUUCGAAAUGGAACAAAUAAAAGAACAUGUUCCUUGGCCUUGAUUUCUCUGCUAUGCUUGGCAUUUUCAUUUUUGGAGUUCUCGAAACCCUAGAAGAAAGAAAAAUUAUUUUCAUUGCUCCCACAAUCAAGAGAAAUACAGCUAUUAAAACACAAGCCACAUUAUCCAAUGUCAAAAACGGUUUUCCGUAUACUAAGACGUGGGUAAUUUUAUGGUAUAGCAUUCCGUCUUAUCUAAAUCUCUACGUAAAGUAUUCUAAAAUGAAAAAGUGUGAACAUGUCAGAUCAGACUGUGUUAUAUCAACGGACAAUUCUGAUCUCCAUAACAGUAGUGCUGUUGUCUUCACACAUUCGUCUCUACCAGGUUCUCCUCCCCUGAAGAAUAAAUUCCAGAUAUGGAUGUUUAAUACUCUGGAAAACAAAGCUUAUACACAGAGGCCAACUACCGCCUGGAAAAAUCAAUUUGAAUGGAUCAUGUCUUAUCGAAAAAAUGCUGACGUUACAAGACCGUAUGGUAAAAUCAUUAGACUGGACAAAAGUUUAGAUAGAAAUUAUUCUGAGAUUUUUCGACAAAAUUCGGUGUCUGGAUGUCGGGUCACUGCCCUGUUCCAUCUCGUCGUAAAAAAUACAUUGAAGAGUUGCAGAAGUACAUACCGAUUGACACGUUUGGAAAAUGUGGGAAGAAAAAGUGUGGGACUCGAACCGUGCUAAAGAAUGAUUGUUUAACGAAUCUUGCUAGGGAAUAUACAUUUAUUUUUCCUUCGAGAAUAACAUCUGCAAGGAUUACUCUACAGAAAAGGUGUUUAACUUGUAUUAAAAGAAUUUCAACCUUAGCAUCAUACCGGUUGUAAAUGAUCCUCCCCAGGCAAGUGUAUAUUUACCUAAGGGAACCUUUCUAAGUACAUUGAAUUAUGCUUCUCCAGCGGCGUUGGCAAAAAAGCUUAAAGAAAUCGGAUCAAUUGAAAUUUUAUAUAUUAAAUAUCUGAAAGAAAAAGAUAAAUACAAUUCAUUAGAUGAACCUGAGAUUUUUCGAGAAGCGAUAUGUAAUGUUUGUCAGAAACUAGAUAAGAUGGAAGGGAACACAAUUUUGCCAAAAGCGGAUAUGAUAGACAUGUUUAAAAAUGAUUGUUAAGUUACCAUGUUUUUUUUCUGUUGUGGCAUGUUAAGGUCAAGAUCUAUUAAAUGAUUCAAGAGUGUC